CGCUGCCUUAGAAUCCCCUUCCUCUCAAAAUCUCUCUGCAUCACCACCCAAACCCUAGCCGCCGCCACCCUAAUCCACCCUAAUACCUACCUAUACAUGGCUUUUUGUGGUUGUUUGAGACUUGUACCAACCUUCCAAAGCUUCUAUGUAUUUGGUUCUAUGGUUUUACGAUCAGACUUUGAAGGAGUUUUAUCCAGUCCUUGCUCAGCUGGUGUUUAUGGCCUUUCUCUGACUAUCCACGACCUUUCCUGGCCAUUCAUGGCUUUUCAAGACGGGUCCUUGACCUUUCCUAGUUAGAUCAUUAAGUUUCGAGACCGUUCUCGUUUCUUUUAGGUUUUCUGAAAUCCUAAUCUCUCUAAGAUAUUUUUAUUUCUUUCAAAUCUGCUCUAGAUCUGUACUCGCUAUGACUUUCUUAAGUGUUUCUCAAAGGUUCUUUAACUCGCUUUC
rnacentral:lncRNA from 1 species